UAGUUUGAUUCUGGCUCAGAACGAACGCUGGCGGCAGGCUUAACACAUGCAAGUCGAACGCGUGUAGCAAUACACGAGUGGCGCACGGGUGAGUAACACGUGGAUAUCUGCCUUUUGGUUCGGAAUAACUCCGGGAAACUGGAGCUAAUACCGGAUGGUUCCUACGGGAUAAAGAUUUAUCGCCAAAAGAUGAGUCCGCGCACGAUUAGCUAGUUGGUGAGGUAAUGGCUCACCAAGGCGACGAUCGUUAGCUGGUCUGAGAGGACGAUCAGCCACACUGGGACUGAGACACGGCCCAGACUCCUACGGGAGGCAGCAGUGGGGAAUAUUGGACAAUGGGGGCAACCCUGAUCCAGCCAUGCCGCGUGAGUGAUGAAGGCCUUCGGGUUGUAAAGCUCUUUUGGCGGGGACGAUGAUGACGGUACCCGCAGAAUAAGC
rnacentral:rRNA from 1 species